rnacentral:lncRNA from 1 species
UUCUAUUACAUUAAAGGUGUCUCAGAAAAUUCUGCUACAAUGUUCAAGUCCAUUAAAUUAACAAGUGACUUCUUUGCCUGAUUUUUCUACCAACCCAUAUGCUUAAAGGCUGUCUCUUGCCCAUUUUACUAUUUUUUCUGUGUCCUCUCACUUUCUGCAUUCUUGUCUGUUCCAAGUUCCAAUUUUCUUCAGCUCACCCUCUUUAUCUCCAUGAAAGAUGCAAGAAAGAAAGAAAGAAAAGAAGAAACAAACUAAAAGCUAAACCUUAAAAAAGGCUGACCUUGAACUCCUGGGCUCAAACAGUCCUCCUGCCUCAGCCUGCUGAGUAGCUCGGACUAUGGGCAUAUGCCACCAUGCCUGACUCUUAAUGCUGUCUUUUGAUGAAGCUAUGUGACAUAUCUGCUCCCCCUUUGCCUUUGCCAUGAUUGGAAACUUCCUGUUGCCUCUCCAGAAGCAGAUGCCACUAUGCUUCCUACACAGCCUGCAGAACUUGGAUGACAAGAAUCUGUGAUUUGCAUAUGCCCUGCAGAAGAUAAGGUAUGGAUAUUUAGGACUAGUCUAUCGUUAACCAAUGUGGAUUACAGACUAAUUACUUUCUGGACACUAAGAAUAAUUUAAAAAUACCCCAAGAUUUCAAAAGGAAAUGAAAGAAAGAAAAGUAAGCAAAACUAACUUCAUGAAUUAAUGUAUCCUGGAAGGGGAUGUUACAUUGACUCUCAUUACUAUAAUAUCAUUGUGGAUUUCAGUGGUUUUCCUGGAAUGCUGAAAAGAAGUGCUACUGGAAGCCCCCUGGCAGUUAAGUAAACAUUUACUUGUGGUGAAAUAAUUCCUGAAAGCGGCAUUUAUUCAAUAAACAUUUAUUGAGCAACUACACACACACAAUUGCACACACACACACACACACGUAUAUGUAAACAUAUGUUUAUAUACUAUAUUGUCACAUAGAAAAUGCUUGGGGAUACAACAGUAAACAAAGCCGAUCAAAAUCUCUGAUCUCUCUUUUUUUUUUUUUUUUUGAGAUGGAGACUCACUCUGUCACCCAGGCUGGAGCGCAGUGGCAUGAUCUCGGCUCACUACAACCUCUGCCUGCCGGGUUGAAGUGAUUCUCCUGCCUCAGCCUCCUGAGUAGCUGGGAUUACAGGCGCACACCACCACACCUGGCUAAUUUUUGUAUUUUUAGUAGAGACGGCUUUUCACCAUGUUGGCCAGGCUGGUCUUCAACUCCUGACCUCAGGUGAUCCGCCACCUCAGCCUCCCAAAGUGCUGGGAUUAUAGGCAUGAGCCACCGCACCCGGCCAAAAAUCUCUAACCUUAUAGAGGUUUUACUCACCAUUUUAUCUUUAGCACCUCAAAGACUGCUUAAUAUUUGUGAAUUAGUUAAUUAAUGUUUCUUAAGACCUGCUCACAAUCUGUAUUUCCUUAAGUCUUGAUGGCCUUCCAUUCUAGAUGUGCUAUUGCAUAGCAGAUCCCAUAGAUAAGGAAGAAAGGCUGUGAUUCUCCCGAAGCCUUCAACUGGUAAGUUGAGAAGGCAGAAGCUUCUACCUCAUGAAUGUUAAGCCAAUACAUAGAGGAGAGCAAACAAAACCUAGAUACAGAACAAAAGUUUUGGGGUCCUACGCAAGAAUUUGCUGAAGUUAAAAGAGAAAUGAGCUACUAUUACACACGACAUGGAUGAAUCUCAAAAUCAUCAUGUUGAAAGAAGCCAGACACAAAAGAGGAGAAGACUCGACAUUUGCAUUGGCUUCUCAAAAGGGUUUCAACUACACAAAAAGUGUUUAAAAAUCCAGUUAUAUGGAGAAACAAGAUCAAUUUAUUGUCAAAAGACAGAAUUAUUCCUCUUUUGCAUCAACCAGGCUUGACAUAACUGUAAUCUCAUGGAAAUGUCUGCUACUGUAAUCAAGAAUUUGCAUGUAGAAGGAAUGCAUCACAGAAUAUAUGACAUCUUGCUAUGUCUACUGUACUAAAGAAUUAAAGAGGUUUGAAAAUAAAUACUGAAACAAAUCAGAAAGGAACCUCAAUUUUAUUAAACUAAAAUAUCAUAGCUAGGAACAUCUCAAAUUGAGAAUAAAGUUUAUAUAAUAUUUCAGAGUCAUAUGAAUGUCAUAAAAUAAUAAAAAUGUACCAUAUAAUUAUUUAAAAAGCACAAGUCUAUAAAUUGGAAACAAUGACCAGCUAAGAGAUGACAGGUAGGCUGAAACUCAACCUAUUUCCAAACCACUAAAGAAGACAUAAAUCAACUUAAAGGGAAAAUUACAUUUGUAGGUUUAUAAACAUAUUUUUAAAAACCACUCCUAUAAAGCAAAAGAUAUAAAAAGAAAACUUGAGAAAUGAUAAAAGGAUAAAGGAUAAAAAAUUAACAAAGCUAUAUGUUAGGCCACUUUGGUUCAUGCAAUUUUCUUUUGUUUCUCUCUAAAAUGGUAUAUCAAUUUUUAUUUUUCACAAACUUCUUUCAAUUAAGAAAGAAAAUACAUUU